AGGACGACGCUGGGGCGUGAUUAACACAUGCAAGUCGAACGGAAAGGCCCUGCUUGCAGGGUACUCGAGUGGCGAACGGGUGAGUAACACGUGGGUGAUCUGCCCUGCACUUCGGGAUAAGCCUGGGAAACUGGGUCUAAUACCGGAUAGGAGCCAUUUUUAGUGUGAUGGUUGGAAAGUUUUUCGGUGUAGGAUGAGCUCGCGGCCUAUCAGCUUGUUGGUGGGGUAAUGGCCUACCAAGGCGGCGACGGGUAGCCGGCCUGAGAGGGUGGACGGCCACAUUGGGACUGAGAUACGGCCCAGACUCCUACGGGAGGCAGCAGUGGGGAAUAUUGCACAAUGGGCGCAAGCCUGAUGCAGCGACGCCGCGUGGGGGAUGACGGCCUUCGGGUUGUAAACUCCUUUCGCUAGGGACGAAGCUUUUUGUGACGGUACCUAGAUAAGAAGCACCGGCUAACUACGUGCCAGCAGCCGCGGUAAUACGUAGGGUGCGAGCGUUGUCCGGAAUUCCCUGGGCGUAAACGGGCUCGUAGGUGGUUAUGUCGCGUCGUCUGUGAAAUUCCGGGGCUUAACUCCGGGCGUGCAGGCGAUACGGGCAUAAUUGAGUACUGCAGGGUACUGGAAUUCCUGGU
rnacentral:rRNA from 1 species